rnacentral:rRNA from 1 species
UACGAAGGGGGCGAGCGUUGUUCGGAAUUACUGGGCGUAAAGGGCGCGUAGGCGGCGACUCAAGUUAGAUGUGAAAGUCCUGGGCUUAACCUGGGGACUGCAUUUGAUACUGGGUUGCUUGAAUUCGGGAGAGGAUAGCGGAAUUCCCAGUGUAGAGGUGAAAUUCGUAGAUAUUGGGAAGAACACCAGUGGCGAAGGCGGUUCUCUGGGACGGUACUGACGCUGAGACGCGAAAGCGUGGGGAGCGAACAGG